rnacentral:rRNA from 1 species
UACGUAGGGUGCAAGCGUUAAUCGGAAUUACUGGGCGUAAAGCGUGCGCAGGCGGUUUUGUAAGUCUGUCGUGAAAGCCCCGGGCUCAACCUGGGAAUUGCGAUGGAGACUGCAAGGCUUGAAUCUGGCAGAGGGGGGUAGAAUUCCACGUGUAGCAGUGAAAUGCGUAGAGAUGUGGAGGAACACCGAUGGCGAAGGCAGCCCCCUGGGUCAAGAUUGACGCUCAUGCACGAAAGCGUGGGGAGCGAACAGG